rnacentral:rRNA from 1 species
GACGAACGCUGGCGGCGUGCUUAACACAUGCAAGUCGAACGAAGAGCGAUGGAAGCUUGCUUCUAUCAAUCUUAGUGGCGAACGGGUGAGUAACGCGUAAUCAACCUGCCCUUCAGAGGGGGACAACAGUUGGAAACGACUGCUAAUACCGCAUACGAUCUAACCUCGGCAUCGAGGAAAGAUGAAAGGUGGCCUCUAUUUAUAAGCUAUCACUGAAGGAGGGGAUUGCGUCUGAUUAGCUAGUUGGAGGGGUAACGGCCCACCAAGGCGAUGAUCAGUAGCCGGUCUGAGAGGAUGAACGGCCACAUUGGGACUGAGACACGGCCCAGACUCCUACGGGAGGCAGCAGUGGGGAAUCUUCCCGCAAUGGACGGGAAAGUCUGACGGGAGCAAACGCCCGCGUGAGUGAUGACGGGCCUUUCCGGGUUGUAAAAGCUUCU